GGAGAAGGGUCGUGAUGGGGAAGCCUAUGAUUGAUAUUCCCAUUAGCCGCCUGACAAGGACAAACAACCCUCCUGUAUGAAUGCGGAUGCAGGAACAUCGGAGGUGCUUCUUCACUUCCUAAAAGGGAUUCAUUGCUUCUUUAAUGUUGUGUAAAAUGCACUCAGAGACUUCAGCCAAAUGGAGAUAAAGUCCACUUGACUGAUAUAAUGUUUCCUAGACAAUUUGAGGCUAUAAAAA
rnacentral:lncRNA from 1 species